rnacentral:rRNA from 1 species
UACGGGGGGGGCAAGCGUUGUUCGGAAUUACUGGGCGUAAAGGGUUCGUAGGUGGCCGACUAAGUCAGACGUGAAAUCCCUCAGCUCAACUGGGGAACUGCGUCUGAGACUGGCCGGCUUGAGUGCAGGAGAGGAACGCGGAAUUCCAGGUGUAGCGGUGAAAUGCGUAGAUAUCUGGAGGAACACCGGUGGCGAAGGCGGCGUUCUGGACUGCUACUGACACUGAGGAACGAAAGCCAGGGGAGCAAACGGG